rnacentral:rRNA from 1 species
CAAUAGCGUAUAUUAAAGUUGUUGCAGUUAAAAAGCUCGUAGUUGAAUUUUUGCUUGCCGCCGAUGUCGGAACUUCCGUACGUUCGGCGGCGUGCAUCCUUGGGUGGAACCUGUGUGGCAUUAGGUUGUCGUGCAGGGGAUGCUCAUCGUUUACUGUGAAAAAAUUAGAGUGUUCAAAGCAGGCUUACGCCGUUGAAUAUAUUAGCAUGGAAUAAUAAGAUAGGACCUUGGUACUAUUUUGUUGGUUUGCGCACCGAGGUAAUGAUUAACAGGGACAGUUGGGGGUAUUCGUAUUCCAUUGUCAGAGGUGAAAUUCUUGGGUUUCUGGAAGACGAACUACUGCGAAAGCAUUUACCAAGGAUGUUUUCAUUAA